rnacentral:rRNA from 1 species
UGCGGAGGAUGCGAGCGUUAUCCGGAUUUAUUGGGUUUAAAGGGUGCGUAGGCGGACUGUCAAGUCAGCGGUAAAAUUGAGAGGCUCAACCUCUUCCCGCCGUUGAAACUGGUGGUCUUGAGUGGAUGAGAAGUACGCGGAAUGCGUGGUGUAGCGGUGAAAUGCAUAGAUAUCACGCAGAACUCCGAUUGCGAAGGCAGCGUACCGGCAUCCAACUGACGCUGAGGCACGGAAGCGUGGGGAUCAAACAGG